GGCAGUGUAGUGUAUGGGUGCACGCGGGAUUAUCUUAGUGUUGUGUAUUUGCUGUCACCAUUUAUUCCCGAAGUCUUUGUUCGAUCCAAGGUACUGCUC